rnacentral:tRNA from 1 species
UGGGGAGUCGUCUAAUGGCAAGACUACGGGCUCUGGAUCCGUCUAUCGGGGUUCGAAUCCCUGCUCCCCAGCCA